rnacentral:rRNA from 1 species
UACGUAGGGUGCGAGCGUUAAUCGGAAUUACUGGGCGUAAAGCGUGCGCAGGCGGUUCGUUGUGUCGGCGGUGAAAGCCCCGGGCUUAACCUGGGAAUGGCCGUUGAAACUGGCGAACCGGAGUGUGGCAGAGGGGGGUGGAAUUCCGCGUGUAGCAGUGAAAUUCGUAGAUAUUCGCAAGAACACCAGUGGCGAAGGCGGCCAACUGGUCCGGUACUGACGCUGAGACGCGAAAGCGUGGGGAGCGAACAGG